UACGGAAGGCAGCAGUGGGGAAUAUUGCACAAUGGGCGCAAGCCUGAUGCAGCCAUGCCGCGUGUAUGAAAAAGGCCUUCGGGUUGUAAAGUACUUUCAGUCGUGAGGAAGGUGUUAAGGUUAAUAACCUUAGCAAUUGACGUUAGCGACAGAAGAAGCACCGGCUAACUCCGUGCCAGCAGCCGCGGUAAUACGGAGGGUGCGAGCGUUAAUCGGAAUUACUGGGCGUAAAGGGCACGCAGGCGGUUAAUUAAGUUGGAUGUGAAAUCCCCGGGCUUAACCUGGGAAUGGCAUUCAAGACUGGUUAGCUAGAGUCUUGUAGAGGGGGUAGAAUUCCAUGUGUAGCGGUGAAAUGCGUAGAGAUGUGGAGGAAUACCGGUGGCGAAGGCGGCCCCUGGACAAAGACUGACGCUCAUGUGCGAAAGCGUGGGGAGCAAACAGGGAUUAGAUAC
rnacentral:rRNA from 1 species